UUCAACGCUGACAAAACGCUUUGAAGUAGGUUUAAGCAAAACCAUGAAGUUUUCAGGUGUAUUUGUCUUUGUUUUGAUUUUUGUAUCCUUGGAUUUGCUGGCAAUGCCUGUGGAAGGUGGUUGGUGGAGAUCUAGAAAGGAGAAGUUGAAAAUAACAAUAAAACAUAAAACAAAUGCAGCAGAAGAAAAACGAGUUGUCCGUGGUCAAAACAUUGUGGAAAGAAGUGAUCCGAUGACAUUGACCUGAACUGCUAGAACUAUUUAUGAUAGUUUUUGGUAAUCUGUUAUAAAAAAUAAUGAAUAAAUUUUAUUGCUCUUA